GAUGAACGCUGGCGGCGUGCUUAACACAUGCAAGUCGAACGGAAAGGCUCCUGCUUGCAGGGGUACUCGAGUGGCGAACGGGUGAGUAACACGUGGGUGAUCUGCCCUGCACUUCGGGAUAAGCCUGGGAAACUGGGUCUAAUACCGGAUAGGACCACAUGUUGGAUGGUGUGGUGGAAAGUUUUUCGGUGUGGGAUGAGCUCGCGGCCUAUCAGCUUGUUGGUGGGGUAAUGGCCUACCAAGGCGUCGACGGGUAGCCGGGCUGAGAGGGUGGACGGCCAAGUUAGGACUGAGAUACGGCCCAGCCUAGAAUGGGAGGCAACAGAGGGGAAUAGAGCACAAUGGGAGCGAGCCUGAUGCGACGACGCAGCGUGGGGGAUGACGGCAUUCGGGUAGUGAACUACAUUCGCUAGAGACGAAGCGCAAGUGACGGUACCUGGAGAAGAAGCACCGGCUAACUACGUG
rnacentral:rRNA from 1 species